GAUGAACGCUGGCGGCGUGCUUAACACAUGCAAGUCGAACGGAAAGGCCCAAGCUUGCUUGGGUACUCGAGUGGCGAAUGGGUGAGUAACACGUGGGUGAUCUGCCCUGCACUUCGGGAUAAGCCUGGGAAACUGGGUCUAAUACCGGAUAGGACCACAUUUUGGAUGGUGUGGUGGAAAGUUUUUCGGUGUGGGAUGAGCUCGCGGCCUAUCAGCUUGUUGGUGGGGUAAUGGCCUACCAAGGCGUCGACGGGUAGCCGGCCUGAGAGGGUGUACGGCCACAUUGGGACUGAGAUACGGCCCAGACUCCUACGGGAGGCAGCAGUGGGGAAUAUUGCACAAUGGGCGCAAGCCUGAUGCAGCGACGCCGCGUGGGGGAUGACGGCCUUCGGGUUGUAAACUCCUUUCGCUAGGGACGAAGCGUUAUGUGACGGUACCUGGAGAAGAAGCACCGGCUAACUACGUG
rnacentral:rRNA from 1 species